UUCAUCUGAGUGGAUGGAAAGCUCAUCGUGAGCUGAAAGAAAGAAAGGGGACAGCUUUGCAAGGAGAGAUUCCUCUUUUCUCCCACUCCACUCACCCACAAAUGGCCCUGGAGCAGAAGCAACUGCGUGUUCAGCGAUUAAAAUAGGCAAAGCUCUGAGGCUCUGGAAGAUGGCCACUGCAUGACAGGAGUGAGCCUCAAUCCCUCAGUGACACAGUGGAACAGAGCUAUCUCUCCCAAAGAUUAUACAACAGUUUCCAGAAGAAAAUGGUUCCAAGAUCAUUGUGAGAUCUCAAGAAACCCUAGAUUUGAAACACCUUGGUCUGCUGCCCAGCCAAGCAUCACAGUUAGUCUUCAGCCCAUGGAAAUCUCAGUCUUACAUUCUAGAAAGGCAGACUGGACAUAAAUGUGUAAAAUCUUUAACUUAUUACUGAUAGUGUAUUUAUCUGUGUUUGAAUUUUGAAAAGAAUAGGAAAAAUAAGGAAAGAAGUCCAGAGUGGAGAGGAAGAAUUGAAGUCAGGCAACAUUUAUAGGACUCCUACCACAGCAUUUAUACAUAGUGUUGAAGUGCAAAGCUGCUUUUACUUACCUUAUCUAAUGAAAUUAGUUCACACACCAUUUUAGUACCCUAAACAAAAUUUAUAUUACUAAAAAAUAAAUAUUAAAAUAUCUUUGAUAUCCCUUUAGUACUUUAUUUCUUUUCAAAAUUAUGUCAGUCUGCAAGUUUUUCAUUAAGUGAACUGUGUUUUGGCAAUGGCACCCCACUCCAGUACUCUUGCCUGGAAAAUCCCAUGGAUGGAGGAGGCUGGUAGGCUGCAAUCCAUGGGGUCGCUAAGAGUCGGACACGACUGAGCGACUUC